CAGGCCCACAUACCCGUACGCAUCUGCCUCCUCAACUCGAACCCUCGCCUUUGCCCUUGCCGAGCCCUCGCCGCCGCCACACCUCAGCCCCCUCGCCGCCACGGCAGCACCUCAGCCCGCUCGCCGCCGCGUUCGCGUGUCAGCCCGCUGGACAUCCCCGCCUCCACGGUCACACCUCUCCCCGCUCGCCGCCCCCGUCGCAACCCAACCCCUCCAAUGGAUGCCGCCCGAACUACAUCAUCCAAUAGGACGCCGGCCGCGGCGUCACGAAGUUGCUGGCGUCGCCCAGUUCGCCGUGGGUGAAGGCGCCUCAGACGCAAGCAAAGCUGCAGCUUCCUCAAUGUAUGCCUCAUCAUGGGGCUCGCUGUGCUGCUGGCGGACAGCCGCGGCCCCGCUAGUGUGGUGCGAGACUUCCAGAUCACCCGGCGGCUGGGGUUGGAGGAUGGCAUUCCCACGACUCCUCAUCGGGGGAUUUGUGUUUGUUCGGAUGCUUAGGUGCAGCUGCAUAAGGGGAAUUGGCCGACGGUGUGCAAUACAUAGACAAGCAAAAGUCAGUAUGGAGCAAAUGCGAGUUCGGUUGCUCUUCUGACAAUUUCACCUUGAUUUUGUUGUUAGUGACUGAUUGAGGCGUCACUCCCACCACGGUGGUGACGGCAACCUUCCACCUCCAGCCGCUGUGGCCGUAGCGUACCGCUCCAAUGCCAUCUGACACAACCGUCUUGUGGUGGAGGAGGGCCACCUCAAACACAUUGGGAAGCGGUGAGCGCGGGCUUCACCACAUGUUCUGCCGAGUCAUCGAUGUCAGUUUCUAGGUUUGUGAGUGCACUGUCUGGUGCUUCUUUUUACGAUGUCUAUCAACACAAGCACAGCGUGUUCCAAGUAUGAACGGAGAGAGUGCUCCCAUUGGGUUCUACAUGUGGACAUUGUGGCCGGUGAGGCAUAACUGGAAGUUUCUCUGAUGGUCGACAACAAGGUACCCCACUGCUCUGAAUUUUUACAUGGUUAAUGUGAGUUGAAUCAUCAAAGGUCUGCACGUUGGUAAUGGUUGAAAAAUUCAUUGCAUUUGAGAAAAAUGAACAGUCUAUCAGUUCUCUAAUAAUACAUAUUAUAGAAUGUACCUUUCUGUCCGAUCAUAGGAUCACUGCACAAUAGGCUUUGGAGCAGGCUCUGAUUCACGGAGAACUCCCCAGCAACCUCAUCUUUUGUGGAUAUUAGAUGGAUAUUGAAUCCAGUAAGCCUCCAAUUGAUAAACGAAGUCAAUUUUCUGUUGGUAGUUUGCAUGACAGGGUUCUAGCUAAUUUAUGAUUGUGCCUACAACAGACUACCUUUGCCUGAAGAUUUGAGGUGUGACUCAAAUUUCGUGCUGUUAGAAAUCAACAAUGGAGAUUUCAGUUUUUUUCAUGUAUAUUCGUACGGAUUUCAAGUUUAAUGGAUCAUUAAAUUUUAUUCUAUAAUCAGAUCUUGGUAUGUUUUCAGAUUUUUCAGAGAAGAAAGAAGUCUAGAGGCGUGGAUGUAUGUUUUUAGGGGGGAAUCAAGUCUGUAGAAUAUACACUAAUUUGAGGAAUUCAGAUGUUACCCUUGGUCAUACAGGGAAAGUGUGAAGCACUCUGGCCAAUUUUCCGCAUUUCUCAUCCAAGAAGCCGUUACAUUUAUGAUCUUUUCUAUAGAAGAAGGAAGGAUAUAUCUAAGGAGCUGUAUGAAUUUUGCCUGGACCAGGAUUAUGCAGACCGUAAUCUCAUUACAAACUGGAAAAAUGUUAGUUGCCUCAGCUUUAUAUCAUUUGAGCUAGGGGCCAAGACGGAUGAGGUUGAUUUGGCUUGAUCAUGCCAAAGAAAUUUACUUCUUUUUUUGGAAAAUGAAAGCAUGUUUUAGAAGUUCAGGGUUAAGUUACCAAAUCUGAGCUUUAUAGCAAAGCAGAGGAUCAAGAAAAGCAGAGUAGGAUAAUAAAGGUUCACAUAGAUGUAGUAAUAUGUCACUAUUAGCUAGCUCAAGUAUGUAUGACUGUAGGAGCUCAGGAAUACUCUUACUAUGUCUUUGAUUUUGUUAAAGACCCAAUA